rnacentral:rRNA from 1 species
CAAGUCGAGCGGUAGCACAGAGAGCUUGCUCUCGGGUGACGAGCGGCGGACGGGUGAGUAAUGUCUGGGAAACUGCCUGAUGGAGGGGGAUAACUACUGGAAACGGUAGCUAAUACCGCAUAACGUCGCAAGACCAAAGUGGGGGACCUUCGGGCCUCAUGCCAUCAGAUGUGCCCAGAUGGGAUUAGCUAGUAGGUGGGGUAACGGCUCACCUAGGCGACGAUCCCUAGCUGGUCUGAGAGGAUGACCAGCCACACUGGAACUGAGACACGGUCCAGACUCCUACGGGAGGCAGCAGUGGGGAAUAUUGCACAAUGGGCGCAAGCCUGAUGCAGCCAUGCCGCGUGUGUGAAGAAGGCCUUCGGGUUGUAAAGCACUUUCAGCGGGGAGGAAGGCGGUGAGGUUAAUAACCUCAUCGAUUGACGUUACCCGCAGAAGAAGCACCGGCUAACUCCGUGCCAGCAGCCGCGGUAAUACGGAGGGUGCAAGCGUUAAUCGGAAUUACUGGGCGUAAAGCGCACGCAGGCGGUCUGUCAAGUCGGAUGUGAAAUCCCCGGGCUCAACCUGGGAACUGCAUUCGAAACUGGCAGGCUAGAGUCUUGUAGAGGGGGGUAGAAUUCCAGGUGUAGCGGUGAAAUGCGUAGAGAUCUGGAGGAAUACCGGUGGCGAAGGCGGCCCCCUGGACAAAGACUGACGCUCAGGUGCGAAAGCGUGGGGAGCAAACAGGAUUAGAUACCCUGGUAGUCCACGCCGUAAACGAUGUCGAUUUGGAGGUUGUGCCCUUGAGGCGUGGCUUCCGGAGCUAACGCGUUAAAUCGACCGCCUGGGGAGUACGGCCGCAAGGUUAAAACUCAAAUGAAUUGACGGGGGCCCGCACAAGCGGUGGAGCAUGUGGUUUAAUUCGAUGCAACGCGAAGAACCUUACCUGGUCUUGACAUCCACAGAACUUUCCAGAGAUGGAUUGGUGCCUUCGGGAACUGUGAGACAGGUGCUGCAUGGCUGUCGUCAGCUCGUGUUGUGAAAUGUUGGGUUAAGUCCCGCAACGAGCGCAACCCUUAUCCUUUGUUGCCAGCGGUUCGGCCGGGAACUCAAAGGAGACUGCCAGUGAUAAACUGGAGGAAGGUGGGGAUGACGUCAAGUCAUCAUGGCCCUUACGACCAGGGCUACACACGUGCUACAAUGGCAUAUACAAAGAGAAGCGACCUCGCGAGAGCAAGCGGACCUCAUAAAGUAUGUCGUAGUCCGGAUUGGAGUCUGCAACUCGACUCCAUGAAGUCGGAAUCGCUAGUAAUCGUAGAUCAGAAUGCUACGGUGAAUACGUUCCCGGGCCUUGUACACACCGCCCGUCACACCAUGGGAGUGGGUUGCAAAAGAAGUAGGUAGCUUAACCUUCGGGAGGGCGCUUACCACUUUGUGAUUCAUGACUGGGGUGAAGUCGUAACAAGGUAACCGUAGGGGAACCUGCGGUUG